UUUGUAACACCAUUAUUUUUGUAACUUAACAUUUCGUUUAUUGUUUACAUUCUGUUUGUUUACUUUGUUAGUCUUGUCAAGUAUCAGCUGUCAAAUUCGACACACAGGAUAGAUUUUCAGUUGUUGUCUGUGGUCCUUUCAGAAACUCGUGCUAGAUCGUCAUCGGACAGUGGUCAGUGGCGACAUGACGCUCAGAACAAUGAUCGUGCUGACUGGCCACAGAGUAGUUUUGUGACGAUGAGCUGACAUCCCCGGUGACGGCUUUUUUCGGAACUGGCAAGGAGGCAAACCAUUCUCUGUCAGAACAUCUCGAGUAAAUGUGUGGUUAGAUUUUUCUUCCCGCCCGCGUGGCGCAGGCCGUAUUGGUAUCAAGUUCCUUGCUUCAUAUUUCCUGGUGAGUAUUUCGAUCGUGGGUUCAGGUUAUCUGAUUGGUCUACGAGAUAGAUUCUGACUAAGUUGUUUCUUUGCAGUUACCAGAUACGUGCCACAGACACCCACGCAGCAUCACACCAUGUGUAUCUAACCUGAAUUGCCGAGUGAGUAAACUAGCAUUUCGUUGUUAUUCGAUUUCCGAUGACUUUGGAUUUCGAAAGCCAUCUGCCUUGUCUUUAUUUCUACACGUAGCAACGUCUAACCCCGCGUAUUUCUUUUACAGCAAUUUCAAUCCUGCCCGGUGAAGCGUGCGAUUGCCAGACGCGUGUCACCUGACCCAACCCCAAGAAGGUGUCGUUGGUGACCAGAGCCGUCAGCGAGCCACGAGCCGUCCGGAGCUCCUGUCCUGGCCCCGUCCGACAGUCCAGGUUGGCCGUUGUAUGUUCGUUGAGCGGAUACUGAGGAAUUUCCUUAGGAUUUCUAUUAAUCUUCGGCGGCAUCAGCCUUCUAACGCCGCUGCUGAAUGUAGGAUUGCAAAGGCAGAACCCGGGUGGACUCUAGCGGGUUAAAACCUUUAUUUUAUUUUUUUUACUUCGUAGGGAGCCCCGUUAGAACGGGCAGUAGUAUCUAAAUUGCACUUUGAACCUUUUGUAGGCGCUAGGCUAUCAACGUCCUUCGGUUACGGGGCCUUAACGUUAAACUGCUAUCCCAUUGAAGUAAUAUAGAAGUUUCUCUGGGGUUAAUACCAUCUUUCUAUCCCUGUGGCGUGAAACACAGGGGUAGAACCUUUGGUUUCCCCACUUUAAUGUAAUUUCCUUGCAAUACCUUGUAUACUUCAACCAGACAAUUAUAAGGACUUAAUCCCUGGUCUCAUUUUAGACCUAUUUGAGUUAUAAAAUAUUGUGUGAGGCAGGGUUUUGAUAAAUAAAUAUUAAUAACUGUACCACA